UCUCCUCUUAGUUCCAUGUCUCCUUCCCCUCUAAUGCUUACGCUGAAACUCACUCGGCUGUUGUUGUUUUUUGUACAUUUGUAGCAAACAUAUUUUAUAUCUCCGACCUAGGAAGAGGCCGUUAUAUUAUAUUCACACAUAAACUCAGGAUAACCCUAUUUUCAGCUUUGUAAUAAAAUAAUGAAGAUGCCUUGCUUUCUUUAAUUUUGAAUCUUUUUCUUCCUCUAAUCACUUUUCGUUCUUGGCUGCUGCCUCUUUCUCGUUCCCCCUGCUCUCCAUCUCUCUGCCUUCCUCUAUCAGUGUCAAUGUCCGGCAGUCCACAAAAAGACAGUUUCCAACAACGGAUGAACCAUCAACAUCUUCCCACAGUUGUGGAGUUUUUUUGGCUGAAAUCCCAAAUGCAAAACAGUGAAGAAUCGGUCGGCUGUCGCCUGCAGAUGUAAACUAACUCCUAGCGGUGAAGCUUUAUUUAUUUUUAAUUUAUUCACCUCACUCAUCCCUUAUCAUGUUUUUGUCUAUUGAUAUUUUGAUUAUUAUUUUCUUUUCUCUCUUGGUUUUCUAUCAUCUUCUUCCCUUCUCCAUCUCUCUCUGUCUUGCUCCAUCGCUCUCCCCUGUCACCGCUCCUCCUCCUCCUCACUUCUCUCUCUCCAUCUCCCUAAACAUUUCAAAAGAAUGAAUUACUUCGGGCUGUCACUUGGCCCUGGCCAAGAAUUCAUUUUUGUGGGUCAAGUGUUUCAAACUGUCAUCUCUGACAGGAACCAUCUCAUACAAUAACUACAUGGAUGGACCUUGACUUGAAGUGCUUUCGUGUGUCCCCCCCCUCCCCCACCCCCCACCCCCUCCAAUUCCCUGAUCAUAUGCAUGCUAAAAAGAUCUUGGCUGUGUUGGUACAGAGAGGGAGGGAUAGAGAGAUGGCAGACAAGUGGAGAGCCGUGAAUUUUUUUUUUAGGAAUAAUAGAAUCCUUUGAAGAGACCUGGAAGCCUUUUAUUAACUAUUUGAACAACGCUGCAAUCCAACAGGAGAUCUAGGAGACCCCCCCCCCUCCUUUCUCAUUUUGUAUUUGUAUUUUUUUUCUGUAUGUAAUUAUGUAUGCAUGCUUCCACAUCUCAAUUCGUACUAUAUUUAAAUGUCCCUUAAGAUGCUGUUAUCGUGGUUGUUUGUUGUGCAUUUGAAAUCUUUGUAUAUGUUGACAUGGUGCUACAGUUACACCUCCAAACGACUGCAUGUGAAGUUCUGUACACACCAACUUCUUGGAGGUGGUAUUAUUCUUCAUUCCUGUGUUUGCAAAAUCAAUAAAAAAGAUUUAAAAUAUUGGAAUAAUCAUAGAUUCAGCUCGACCAAGUGCAAAGUUACACGAGGACUGAAAACGUAUCACGGGCCCCGGCCGACUGAAUCGUGGAUGAAUGAAGUCGCUCGCCGCAACACUCGGCUGUGCUGAGGCCCCCGAACACAACUCAUGAAAGACGAGGAAAACGCAUAAAACGGUACGAUCCCAAAAAGCGUGCCAAGAGGUAAAGACGGCCUUGUAUGUGUGCAUGUGUGUGUGUGUGUGUGUGUGUGUUCUGGGGACAGCGGGGCUCCAAUGGCAUUGGGUUUGAGCAGACAAUCUAUUUACAGUGUGCUCCGGGGAGCUGAUAAACAAAUGUUGAGUAAUUUCAGCCAGGAGUAAUUACCCUUGCCGCUGACAAGGAGAGUGUGUUAGCAUUCCCCUUCACCCUCGGCCCUGUCCAGAAGGCUUCGAGCUUGUACACACACACACACACACACACAAUAGAGAACUUCCUCGUUAAAGUGUGGCGUUUGUCCAGCAGUCGAUACCGCAAACACCUCCCCAGCCGACCAGUUUUUUGAGAAGCCGACGAAAUAUUUCCGCCCGCUCGGAAAACUCUCGGUCGGCUCGGCAACCUACUGACGACGACUUGGCUUUUUAAAAACAUUUUAUUGGUCUAAAAUUACCAUGUCAACUGGCUAUUUGUAAAACACUCUGGUUUCAAAUACAAAAAGAGUGCACUGCCAUCGCGGUUCCAGAGUGUGUGUGUGCCUCCGAGCCCAGGAUCAACAUUUAGAGACGGCUGGUUGAUGCCAGUUUCAUACCUAAUAUGAAGCUAUAUUUAGCGUAGCUCAAUCAAAUAAAACAAAGCAGAUCGGUGACCCCCCUCAACCCUUCCACGUCUGCUUGCGUACGCAUUAAAAAUAAUGAGACGACUUAUCAAUUGCAGUCUGAUCUCAAGGAAUUGUGAGCCGGCACCACAGAAAUAAUUCCUGGAAAGUCAGAGACAGUUCUUUAUGGGGGGCAUAAAGUUCGGGGGGGGAUGGUGGACGUGAACCCAAACCACGAUCUUCUCUUCCCAAACCCAACUGAGGAGUUUUGUUGUUCUUGAGCUGAGAAGAGGUCAUGAUAGUAAUUUUAUAUCAUUCCGUGAUAUCUUGUUUUUUUUUAUUGAUAUCAUCUUCUUAUUUGAGUAAUAUCUUGACAUUUUCUUUUUAACUCAAGCUAGUCCCCCCUCCCCCAUUAUGCUAAGCUACGCUAAUGGAUGAGAUCUUGCUGGAUAUAAAUGAUGCAGAUGCACGUGAUACACUUUCUGUAAGCCGGCAGUUCGGCUCACCUUCAUCAGGACUCCGUGCGGUCAUCAACAGAUCACGUUAUCGAAUAAAACAAACAGGCAAUCAAAGUCACACUCAGUGCAAACAUUGUUUUUACAUUUUAAUGAUUUGCGAGACCUAAUUACAGGAUUGAAAUGUAACCAACAAACGAGCAAAUUAAUGUUCACCGUAACCUUUUGGGAGGCGAGCGGGCCCGAUGCACCGGCUUCAUCCCACCUGAUCGAUUAUGAUCUCUUGGCUUCAAGAGGAAUGGAUUCCCAUGCAAAUUUUAUCCGGAUCGAUGCCCAUCCCCUGCAGAAUCGAUGAAAAAUAGCUUUUCCACACCUCCGUUGUAUGAUUAGGAGAUGAGAUGGAGACGAGUGGAGAAAUAAUCCCAAUAGUUUGUAUAAAAUCAAAACAAUGGAAAGGCUUGAAAUGUAACAGCGAAAGGAGGAGACAAAAUAUGUCAAAAUAAAAGUCAAAGUAUAGUAUGCCAAAAUAUGUCAAGAAUAAAGGUCAUAGUAUAGAAUGCCAAAAUAUGUCAAAAAUAAAAGUCAUAGUAUAGAAUGCCAAAAUGUCAAAAAUAUAGGUCAUAGUAUAGUAUGCCAAAAUAUGUCAAAAAUAAAAGUCAUAGUAUAGUAUGCCAAAAUAUGUCAAAAUAAAAGUCAUAGUAUAGUCUGCCAAAAUAUGUCAAAAUAAAAGUCAUAGUAUAGUAUGCCAAAAUAUGUCAAAAAUAAAAGUCAGUAUAGUAUGCCAAAAUAUGCCAAAAUAAAAGUCAUAGUAUAGUAUGCCAAAAUAUGUCAAAAAUAUAGGUCAUAGUAUAGUAUGCCAAAAUAAAAGGUCAUAGUUUAGUAUGCCAAAAUAUGUCAAAAAUAGAAGUUAUAGUAUAGUAUAUUUUGGCAUACUAUACUAUGACCUUUAUUUUGGCAUACUAUACUAAUAUAGAAAAAUGCCCGUCUCAGUUCCUGUUACAUGUCAGUGGUGCGUGUUCUCCCCUCCCUCUUUGUUUUCCCUUCACUUGCCACCUGUACAGGCCAAUCUGACCGCACCUGGGUUCCAGAGGGCAAGCCGGCCAAUCGGCUGAGUGCUUUCAAAGGAGUGGAGGGGUGGCUUUGGCUUGUGUAAUGUUUACACUGAUACUGCUAGGUGUGCAGGUUUGCGGUGAGAGGUUGAGGACAGUCGGUGAGUUCAGGGUACCCUGUACAUGUGUGCAUUCACGUAGGUAGUGUGUGUCUAGAAACAUUAGACUCUUGGUUGCUGCUCCCUCUGGAUUGUUUUGACCAUAACUUUGCUAGAGAAGCAAGUGAAGCCAUUUUGUUUGUUGGAGGUAUUCCGCCAGGCACAACCACAACUGUCCCAAUCUCUCCCACUUCAUGGGACCUUAUCCCCUGGACCAAGAAGUGGACGUAACAGUUCCUGAAAAGUAAUUUGCAUGAAAACACUCAAACAAUGACGCGGUUAUCAAAUAUAGUUGGCAAGAAAAUGAAAUAUUGAGCUGCUUUGAGUGAGUGGGGCUUGAGUAAUUAUUAUUUGUAUUGUUAUUGAUUACUUUGUAUGUGUGUGUUAGACAUUGUUUUACUCGCAUCAUUACGCAGAAACAUUCUGAUUUAAAAUGGGGAAAUGCUUUUGUCAAAUGAUGUACUAUACGCACAAUACUCCACGUGGUUAUUUCAUGUAGACUUUACGUUGUCUUGUCUCUCGUGCUUUUCCCCUCGGGUCGUUUAUUGUCACUUUUAGAAAAGCCAAGAAUUGUUGUUAAAAUUGUUCAUUGAGACCGAAUUCUGCCCACAACUUGUUGAAUAUGAGGAUUUCCUGCUUGGCUUUACUUUACCUCUCUUGUAAAUGUAAUCUCUUGUGUUUCAGACUGUUACAAAGACGCUUCUUUAAGCUCUGGGAAAAGUGAGAUGUGCGUCUUUGAUUGACGUCUAACUUUGUUAAGUUACAGCCGGUUAAGAAUAAACUAUAAGGCCGGGUUUGUUGCUUCUACCUAUACCUUUUCAGUCUCUCUUUUGUAUUUGAUUAACUGAAUAAAAUACACAAACAAAAUGUUAAUGCACAUUAUACACACACACACAUAGUUUAACCACAACAAGCUUACAAUGAAUGUGUUUUAAAUGUUUAUUUGUUGUGACUCCACUAGCAGUGUAUCAAAUAAACAUUAAGGUUAUAUAGUUAACCUUGAAUUGGUAUACAUUGUUAAAUUCUUGCCCUGAAAAAGUUGAUAAUCUGGAAGAUCCAUUCCAGGGGUUUGAAGUAGUUUUGGGUCGGGAUACCCGAUAAGGAGUGAAAAAGCUGUUUUAUUUUGCUUUGUUGCUCCCUCACAAACGAUUGAGCUCUUUUUAUACCCCUGGUGACUAAUUGGACCGAACCAAUACCAUCUAUAGAGGUGAGUUUAUCCAUCGCAAAAUGUACGCUAAUAUAUUUACACGCUUUUGCUAACUCCCCAAAUAUCCAUAUUAAUUUACAGCCACAUUUAGAUUUCCUAUCACUGAAGUAAAUUAUAAAUCCAUAGUUUUACUUUCAUAAACACAGCAACACAUGGCUUCACUUCCCCCUACCGAUUCCUUCAGUUGGUAUUUCCCAGACCUAUAAAGUGGUGGUCAUGGACUCUGGGAAGUCAUUUGCCAGAUCACCCUGGGGAGAGGAGACCUGUUCCAGAGAGCCCUGGGAGGAAGACACCUGUAACAGGAUCUAAAGAGUGGGAGUGCGUUGUUACAUUCAACCCCAUGUAUUAAUUUACACUUCCCUGGACCAGGUACCUGGAUCACAGAUGUGUGCAGCUUGCUGAGGGACAUUGAGCUGAUUUCCAAGAUCUAAAGUUGUAUCUGUUUUUUUGGGCAGGUGAGAGACUAGGAGUCUCAUGUAUAGAAAGUCUUGUUUCAGAACAAGGUCGAAGGCAACUGUCACGCUCUUUUUGCUGAUGACAGCAAAAACUAAGUCAAACUUUUUUUUCUGGUUCGUUUUUUUUAU